GACGAACGCUGGCGGCGUGCCUAACACAUGCAAGUCGAACGGACAGGCCCUGCUCUUGUGGGGUGCUCGUGUGGCGAACGCGUGAGUAUCACGUGAGUAACCUGCCCUUGACAUUGUGAUAACAUCAGGAAACUGGGGCUAAUAUCGGAUAGGAGCUCCUGCUGCACGGUGGGGGUUGGAAAGUUUCGGCGGUUGGGGAUGUACUCGCGGCUUAUCAGCUUCUUGGUGGAGUAGUGGCUUUCCAAGGUUUUGACGGCUAGGCGGCCUGGGAGGGUGACCGGCGACAUGGGGACUACGAGACGGACCAGACUCCAACGGGAGGCAGCGGGGGGAAGUCUGGCACAGUGGGCGGAAGCCUGAUGCAGCAGCGCCGCGUGCGGAAUGACGGCCUUCGGGUUAAAAACCACUUUCGCCUGUGACAAAGCGGGAGUGACGGUAAUGGGUAAAGAAGCACCGGCUAACUACGUG
rnacentral:rRNA from 1 species